rnacentral:rRNA from 1 species
UACGUAGGGGGGCUAGCGUUGUCCGGAAUCAUUGGGCGUAAAGAGCGCGUAGGCGGCCAGAUAAGUCCGGUGUGAAAGUCACAGGCUCAACCUGUGAAUGCCGCUGGAAACUGUCUGGCUAGAGUCCGGAAGGGGCGAGUGGAAUUCCUGGUGUAGCGGUGAAAUGCGCAGAUAUCAGGAGGAACACCAAUGGCGAAGGCAGCUCGCUGGGACGGUACUGACGCUGAGGCGCGAAAGCGUGGGGAGCGAACAGG